GCUGUCCUCUGCCCACCAGAGCCUCUUAAUUGGCAACUUUGGUCGGAUUGCCUCACCAAAGCCUUCGUCGCAGCCUUAGCCUCUUUGCUCCCCAGACUCGAGCCCUCUCUCUCCCCCUUCUUCUUCUCACUCUUCCGUCUGUAUUUUUUAUUUUUAAAUUAUCUUGAUUGGAUCGGGGUGGGGGCGGCCUCGCCGCGCGACCCCGCCCCUCGACUGCUAACUGGCGAGUUUUGAGCUCGCUGGGUUCUGAUUAGUUAGUCGUGUUCUAACAAGGUGGUCAUCUCCAGGCUGUCUUGAUUUCUAGGCUCUCACCGGCAAUUGAGGGAACAACGGCUAUUCACAACCCGAGCAUCUCAACAAUACAUUCGCAAGUCAAGCUUGUUGGGAACAGCUGUCACCUUCUAAUCAGAGAACGUGGAAGCCAAGCGAAAGGACAUAUGGAUCAAUUUGAUUAAAGAAGCCAUCCUUCAAAUGUACGUGCAGCAGGCAGAGCAAAAAUCCUAACCUUAGGCAGGAAUAAAUUAUCUUUCUAUAAGUGUAACAUCAACGCCACUGAUCCAUGCAACGGAAAUGCGAGGAAUGGAUACGGUGGAGGGCACAUGGGGCCGGAGCCCAUCAAAGAAACUUUGGACAGGUGUAUGGACUAGGGCCCAUCGACCCACAAAGUUUCGGACAGGCAGAAAGACCUUGCAUACAAGCCCAGCUUAGCUACUUGAUGUACGGACCCAAUACAAAGAGUAUAUAUAUAUAUAGAUUCAUAUAUGAAUCAAUGCUUAAUUUCAAGAGCAUACAUAAAAUAUUAAUAAAUGCUUUUCAUUUUUUUUUAUGGAUACAUGUAACUUACUUAGUGUUUCUCUUUGUCAAAUGAAGUGAUUCUAACAUACAUUUAUGUAUGUGAUACCACCA